rnacentral:rRNA from 1 species
CCUACGGGAGGCAGCAGUGAGGAAUAUUGGUCAAUGGCCGGAAGGCUGAACCAGCCAAGCCGCGUGAAGGACGAAGGUGCCAAGCAUUGUAAACUUCUUUUGUCAAGGGACAAAAUCAGGCUCGAGAGCCUGACCGAGGGUACUUGAAGAAAAAGCAUCGGCUAACUCCGUGCCAGCAGCCGCGGUAAUACGGAGGAUGCGAGUGUUAUCCGGAUUUAUUGGGUUUAAAGGGUGCGUAGGCGGACUGUUAAGUCAGCGGUAAAAGCCCGGGGCUCAACCCCGGCGAGCCGUUGAAACUGGCUGUCGUGAGAUGUCGAGAGGUAUGCGGAAUGCGCAGUGUAGCGGUGAAAUGCUUAGAUAUUGCGCAAAACUCCGAUUGCGAAGGCAGCAUACCGGCGGCGAUCUGACGCUGAGGCACGAAAGCGUGGGUAUCGAACAGGAUUAGAUACCCGAGUAGUC